UUUUAAAGGUUAUUUAAUAACUAUUAGUUUAUUAAUACAACUCAACAAGCCCCCCAUAAUCGAGGCAGAGUCCUAUGGAUUUUUUUUUUUUUUUUUUUUUUAUUUAUUAUAUGUAAGUACACUGUAGCUGUCUUCAGACACUCCAGAAGAGGGAGUCAGAUCUUGUUACGGAUGGUUGUUAGCCACCAUGUGGUUGCUGGGAUUUGAACUCUGGACCUUCGGAAGAGCAGUCGGGUGCUCUAACCCACUGAGCCAUCUCACCAGCCCAUGAGCCAUCUCACCAGCCCCCUAUGGAUUUUUAAAAUCAGCGUUAGCACAAUUACUGUGCCAAUUACCCCUAAUCUAUUUUUCUCUAUGCUCGACUGUUAAUUUCUCACUUGUGCUCACCAAGUGCUUGCUGUUUUAGUCUUGCCCCGGUUAGUUCUGCUGUCAGUCUGUCUGUGGGCAUUUCAUUCAGCCAGUGCUCCUGGUCCACCAAGUCUAAUGGAGACCUUUUAUUCUCUCGGUCUUUUUCCCCUUCCCCCUCCUUCUCUCUCCUUCUUUCUCCUCUUCCUCUCCUCCAUAUCCCUACCUGCAAUGUCCCCAAGCCAUAACUGAAACCCCAUCAGCCUCUAUUCUCUCCCAUUAAUCGGUUAUAACCACUUUUAUUUAACCAAUAGUUUUAAAUUGGGGAGCUAGGUUUACAUUACAGGGGCUAGUGUACAUGAGAAUUUGCUUGUGGGACUGCAACCCGAUCUUGGGGUUCAGGAUUUAGCAUUUGUAUACACUACACCAGACCAAUUUCCAAACAUUCCUCCCCCAAAAUAAGAAUGUGGAGGGGCUUACAACUCUCCCUUGGCUUGCCUUCCUGCUUCGUAUGUGUGGCAGGGCACCUCUUGCACAAAGCCUCCCUGGUUGUCCAAAGUGAGCGGGGAUGUGACCCUGUGUCCCUCAGAUAGGAAGUGGUAGGUGUUGAACUCAUUUCUUCUAUAAGUUGCUUGAAAACAAAAGGUCAAUAGGGAAAAUGGAGAUUGAAGUUUGUGGUAGACCAGUUAGCUGCACAAGCCACUGGGUUUAGUCCUUGUCACUCAGAUGAAUAAAUGUAUUCACUCAUCCUACUUCUCGAGAGUGGUGAGAAGAAAUGACAGUAGUAACCUGAAAUGUAGACCUAAGGAGGCAGUUCUCGGAAGGAAACCAACGAAGGACCGGACCGUCAGUGUAUAGCUAAGCAACAGUGAAUUAAAACUACAGGCAGACCAGGUGUGCAGUUUGAUUUUUAAAUAUCUGAUGCCACGGGGCCUACAGUGAACUUCAGUGUUGUGUCCUGCUUAAAGACAUCAUGCUGUCAAGUGGACAGGUGAAUCAUAGCCACAACAAAGCCGAUCAAACACACCGGAUGCAGAUAUGACACCUGGCCCAGAGGGAGCAGAGUUCAGAAUGAGUGGCACCCCCUCAGUACCCAGAAAGUGGAGGUGAGGGGAAGUUCUCUUACCUAAAGGAUGACAGCAGUUAAUGGUAAGGUGUGUUUCAGAGGAACUUCAAGAGACGUUGGGUGGUUGAUUGGUUUAACAUUCUCACC
rnacentral:lncRNA from 1 species